rnacentral:piRNA from 1 species
UGGCAAAUGGAAGAAACGUCUGAAUGCCUCU